GAUGAACGCUGGCGGCGUGCCUAAUACAUGCAAGUCGAGCGAACGGACGAGAAGCUUGCUUCUCUGAUGUUAGCGGCGGACGGGUGAGUAACACGUGGAUAACCUACCUAUAAGACUGGGAUAACUUCGGGAAACCGGAGCUAAUACCGGAUGAUAUUUUGAACCGCAUGGUUCAAAAGUGAAAGACGGUCUUGCUGUCACUUAUAGAUGGAUCCGCGCUGCAUUAGCUAGUUGGUAAGGUAACGGCUUACCAAGGCAACGAUGCAUAGCCGACCUGAGAGGGUGAUCGGCCACACUGGAACGGAGACACGGUCCAGACGCCUACGGGAGGCAGCAGUAGGGAAUCUUCCGCAAUGGGCGAAAGCCUGACGGAGCAACGCCGCGUGAGUGAUGAAGAUCUUCGGAUCGUAAAACUCUGUUAUUAGGGAAGAACAUAUGUGUAAGGAACUGUGCACAGCUUGACGGUACCUAAUCAGAAAGCCACGGCUAACUACGUG
rnacentral:rRNA from 1 species